CACGUAGGCACCAAGCGUUGUCCGGAUUUAUUGGGCGUAAAGAGCUCGUAGGCGGCUUGUUGCGUCGACUGUGAAAAACCCGCGGCUUAACUGCGGGCUUGCAGUUGAUACGGGCAGGCUAGAGUUCGGUAGGGGGAGACUGGAAUUCCUGGUGUAGCGGUGAAAUGCGCAGAUAUCAGGAGGAACACCGGUGGCGAAGGCGGCAUCCUGGACCAACACUGACACUGAGGAGCGAAAGCCAGGGGAGCAAACGGG
rnacentral:rRNA from 1 species